UGGCUCAGAGGUUAAAGCGCCUGCCUGGAAUGCAGGAGACCCGGGUUCGAUCCCUGG
rnacentral:tRNA from 1 species